GACGAACGCUGGCGGCGUGCUUAACACAUGCAAGUCGAACGGUGAAGGUGGAGCUUGCUCCGCCGGAUCAGUGGCGAACGGGUGAGUAACACGUGGGCAACCUGCCCCAGACUUCGGGAUAACUCCUCGAAAGAGGCGCUAAUACCGGAUACGAGUUCUGCAGGCAUCUGCGGAAUUGGAAAGUUUUUCGGUCUGGGAUGGGCCCGCGGCCUAUCAGCUUGUUGGUGAGGUAACGGCUCACCAAGGCGACGACGGGUAGCCGGCCUGAGAGGGCGACCGGCCACACUGGGACUGAGACACGGCCCAGACUCCUACGGGAGGCAGCAGUGGGGAAUAUUGCACAAUGGGCGCAAGCCUGAUGCAGCGACGCCGCGUGAGGGAUGACGGCCUUCGGGUUGUAAACCUCUUUCAGCAUCGACGAAGCGAAAGUGACGGUAGGUGCAGAAGAAGGACCGGCCAACUACGUGCCAGCCGCCGCGGUAA
rnacentral:rRNA from 1 species